GGUUUGUAAGCAGAAUGCGUUUGAUUGUUAAUCAAAAGGUUUAAAACCG
rnacentral:tRNA from 1 species